GGUCCCAUAGCUCAGUUGGUUAGAGCGUCGUACUAAUAUGUUCCUGUCUUCUGGAUGAGAAAUAUUAAGUAAAUGCGAAGGCCGAGAGUUCAAGCCUCUCUGGGACCA
rnacentral:tRNA from 2 species